rnacentral:rRNA from 1 species
GACGAACGCUGGCGGCGUGCUUAACACAUGCAAGUCGAACGGAAAGGCCCUGCUUUUGUGGGGUGCUCGAGUGGCGAACGGGUGAGUAACACGUGUGUAACCUGCCCUAGACUUUGGGAUAACUUCAGGAAACUGGGGCUACUCCCGUAUAGGAGCUCCUGCUGCGUGGUGGGGGUUGGAAAGUUUCGGCGGUUGGGGAUGGACUCGCGGCUUAUCAGCUUGUUGGUGGGGUAGUGGAUUACCAAGGCUUUGACGGGUAGCCGGCAUGAGAGGGUGACCGGGCACAUUGGGACUGAGAGACGGACCAGACUCCUACGGGAGGCAGCAGUGGGGAAUAUUGCACAAUCGGCGGAAGCCUGAGGCAGAAACGUCGCGGUCGGGAUGACGGCCUUCGGGGUGUAAACCGCUUUCGCCUGUGACGAAGCGUGAGUGACGGUAAUGGGUAAAGAAGCACCGGCUAACUACGUG